UUGGCGCCAUAAAGUCAACUGGGAGACGCCACAUAGAUCAAGUCGAACUCCUCGUUGUGGGCUCCUCUUGAACCACCUGUUCUUCUCCUAUGGGGGGUGUGAGACAGCAAGGGUGAGCUCACACAUGUUCAUCGCUCAACAAGUUAUGGGGAAUAAUGUGCAUGAACUCUCCAAAGGUGGGAGUUCAUGUGAUGUGUAAGACUGAUCAAUAAUAGGGGUUAAAGCUGAGCAUUGCUUUUAUUAAGUUGGUCAAAUUUUGUUAGCAUUUACUAAAUGUAAGUAAAUACCAAACCAUAAUAAGAAUAGAAUAAAAUUAAUAAAUAAUCCCAUGCAAUGCAAAUGACAAAUUGAAUUUAGCUCCAUAAUUUAAUCAUGCGAGAGUCCUGAGCUGCUCAUGACCGUGAGCUCUGCUAUUAUACCGGUUUUACACUCUGCAGGGGUUGUACCCUGUACCCAAAAGUCAUGUUACCCAUCUGCCACGGGUUGUACGGGCCCCAUACACCUCUACCAAGGAAGUGAGACAGGAUAACACUACGAGGCCUUUACAAAGUUCCACUAGCUUCCGAAAACCCGCUACAGUAUGGGAAGAGCAAUUGUAGGAAUCCCUCGACUGACCACCAUCGCAGCAAAAUCAACCCGAGAACCUCCCUACAUGCCUACUCCCCUACUGCCCUUUCCCCUUUCGGGUAAGGUAGUCUUCCACUAGCUUUCCUAAUUAGUCAGCCAAGGGCGUCCCAUUCCACCCUUGUGGUGGCACGUGUUUCUCAAGUUAAGCUCCAUGUUCCAAUUAAAAUUAAUGAUCUUGACAUGAACAUAAAUAACAUAACAGAAUAAUUGGAACAUGGAUAUAAUGAAAUAUUAACCCAAAACCAUAUACAGCGAUAGCAAAACUACCCAAAUGAUUCGGGGGUAAACAAGGUAAAAAAUAUUCAGACUAGGGUGACCUAUUGGGUCCCAUCAAAAUUAAACCUAUGCGUGAAUAAGUGAUAUUAAAGAACAUUAUUAGGUAAAAAGUGGUCAAGGGCACAACUUGCCUAGGACUUGAGAUUCCAGGUACCAGGAUGCUCUUCAAAUGACUCGUGACCUCAUUGCUAGUCGUAGCAAUACAAACAAACAUGGUAUAGACAAAAUCAACAUCACACCAAACAUAAGAACAAACUGCAUAGUACUAAUCUAUGUGUUGCUACGAGAUCGUGGGUUCGCGAACCACUAAAUUCAGAGUUACGGUUGAGGAGUUAUGAUUUAUGGUAGAUCUAUGUGAUGAAGCAAUUGAAACUAGGUCUUGAGUUUAUUUUACAAAGAUAAUCUAAUGAAAUAAUCAUUUCACCUUUAAUCUUAAUUAUAACUUGACUAGAGAUUAUAUUUUAAUCAAAUUAUAAUUAUAAGAUCCGAAUACUAUAUUAAUAUUAGAAAAGUUAAACCAUAAAACAUAGAUUAAUCAAAUUAGUUACCUAAUUAUAAAAGUAUGGGAUAUCAUAUAAUCAUUGUUGCUAUUGUGUAGUAAAUAUUUAUAUGAAGCUAACGCAACUGGAACGAGUCAAUUCAGAAUUAAAACAGAGGAGUUAUAAAUUUCUGAAGGUUUUAUGUAUUUGAUACAAGAUUAAUUAAGAGAUAUAUUUUAAUAUGGCUUUCAUGUCAAAACAGAGACACUAGUUGAUAAACAAUAAUAUUACAAAACUAUAGAAACUGGAAUUACUCAAUUUGGAAUUAGUAUGAAUUUCCUAUGGAUUAAACAAAUUCUAUUCAUUAUUUUAUAUUAAAAAUAUAUUUCCAAUUCAAUUUCUCUAAUUUACAAACUCUCUGGACUGGGCGCAUGAAAACCAGAGAGUGCAGGGGCCUCGGUGUAACAAUUCCUAAGACACAGAGCGACUGGCGUCAGGACUGCGGGUUAAAUCUCUAAAAACUGAGGGGCUCAAUCGCUAAACCUACCGGCCGAAGCGGUAUCAGUUGAUAUGGAUCGUCCCAUCAAAUGCGAGCGGCGAGGAUUAAAUCAGCGCCCCUCACGAACCGGUAUGCUUCUACGGCCGUUGGAUCCUGGAUCGAGGAUCCAGAUUUAAUUCUCCCAAGUUCUAGUUCCCACCGUACGAUGCGAGAUUGACGGUUCAGAUCGUGUUGAACGAAACAGUAUGCUAUGUUCUAAUCUCGUCCGCCCGCGUCCGAUCCGACGGCCAGUAUUUCUCCCUCACAUUGCUUCAACAGGACACCGGAGCCAGCACCAGGCACACUGGCGCCGCCGCCGACCGCGGCAAUCCCCCUGCCCAAUUCCGGUGACCAAGUCCAAUCGCGACUCUCCCCUGGGCGCAACCUAUUGCCUAACGCAUGGCGAACCUGACCCUAAGCUCAAUUCCGUGGAUGGGGCCCUGCGCACACUAGUUCUUCGCAAUGACGCGGUCCGGCUACGCCGUAGCAAUUACGUCGGCGAGAAUCCAACCCUCCAUAGCCCCAACACGGUCAUAUGUGGGCGCAAAUCGGUACUACGGACCAAAUGAACACGGUGGGGAAAGAAAUUUUACCGCAGAGGGAGUGGUAGAUCGACCCCGACGGUGAAGCCCGCGUCCACGGCCUUCUUCUUCGAUUCUGUUGGGCAAUUCACCCUCCACAGCCGUCUUCCGAUGCUAGAUCUCACUCGUGUGUGUUCCCGCUUUCUGGCACUACCCGCGACCACCACACGCACACCUCAGCAGCGGCGGCGGGACGAUACUACCCGAUUUAUCCCCUUCGAGCUCUCCCUGGUAAUGGCGGCCGACUCUUUUGAGUUCUAGAUAACGGAAGGUGGUCAAGGGUUUCGGGUGAUGGGAACGUGGCCUUAAUACGUGCAGGUGUGCG
rnacentral:lncRNA from 1 species